GAUUGAAAGCUAGGCGGGAUGGUUUUCCCCAUGCAAAUUGGAACGGCAAGCACGAAGGAAAGUUUUAUUUUUUUGGUGGCGGAGUGGCGGACGGGUGAGUUAAUGUUUCGGAACGUGCCCCGUAGUGGGGGAUAAAUACGCGAAAGCGUAGCUAAUACCGCAUAUUCUUUUUGGAGGAAAGGGGGGGAUCAUUUGACCUCUCGCUAUUGGAGCGGCCGAUAUCAGAUUAGUUAGUUGGUGGGGUAACGGCCUACCAAGGCAGUGAUCUGUAGCUGGUUUGAGAGGACGACCAGCCACACUGGGACUGAGACACGGCCCAGACUCCUACGGGAGGCAGCAGUGGGGAAUUUUCGACAAUGGGGGAAACCCUGAUCGAGCCAUCCCGCGUGUGGGACGAAGGCCUUCGGGUUGUAAACCACUUUUCUUAGCGAAGAAAAGUCUUAGGCUAAUACCUUAAGACGCUGACGGUAGCUAAGGAAUAAGCAUCGGCUAACUACGUGCCAGCAGCCGCGGUAAUACGUAGGAUGCAAGCGUUAAUCGGAAUUACUGGGCGUAAAGGGUGCGCAGGCGGCUUGGAAAGAACGGUGUGAAAUCCCGGGGCUCAACCCCGGAACUGCACUAUUAACUAUCAAGCUAGAGUAUGUCAGAGGGGGGUGGAAUUCCGCGUGUAGCAGUGAAAUGCGUAGAUAUGCGGAGGAACACCAAUGGCGAAGGCAGGUUACUGGGCCACCACUGACGCUGAGGAGCGAAAGCGUGGGUAGCGAACAGGAUUAGAUACCCUGGUAGUCCACGCCGUAAACGUUGGGCACUAGGUGUGGGGCCUUUC
rnacentral:rRNA from 1 species